GAGCCCGUACCCCAGCAGGCUAGAGGGCGCUGGCUUAGAAUCAGUGUGUCGUGGGUUCAAAUCCCACCGGGCUCACAA
rnacentral:tRNA from 2 species